rnacentral:lncRNA from 1 species
ACGAACUGCUCUGCUUUACUAAAAGUUGGAUCUCUGUAAGUCAUCUUAUUUAACCGGUUAUUCCUAAGUAGCAAUAAACUAAACACUUGUGCAGUAGAAAAUAUCAUAAAUGAUAAACGUGCAUGGCUACAAGUGCUUUCUCUUUGGCACUAAGCCAUCUACAAAUAUUCUGCCUUAAUUUCAUUAUGUAUUUGAAUACAAUUAAAACAUGUUACAAAAUGGAAGCAUUGUUUGGCUCUACUGCUCUCGUAAUGUCUUGCAUGUUUACCAUGAUAAAGGUUUAAUGGGUGGAGGGACCGCUGCUAAAAGAUGUAAAGAAGUGGUCUUAGCACUAGAAGCUUACUGUCUGAAUCGCAAGGAUCUAAGAAUAGUGAAGCAUAUAAAUUAUUGAACGAUAUGGUAGACUCCACUCGCAAGGAUCUAAGAGUAGAGAAGCAUAUAAAUUAUUGAACGUCGUUAUGGUAGACUGCAUAGUAUUUGUCACAACGAUGUUUACAGUGUGUUCUCUAAUCUAAUACACUGUCCAAAUUAUUUUUUAUCUGUCAUUAUAGUGUGGUACAAUGGAAGGAGAGAUCCUCGCGAACAGGCCUAAUCUGUUUAAAAUGACUGAGCAAGCGACUACCCACAACCCCAAACACUAAUGGAGCCAAUGCUGACUAGGUGCUUACCUACAUGUCAGCACCAAGGCAAGUAAAAAAAUUCCAAUUCAGUCCGG